GAGAUAUGAGGAGAGCUCAACAGUCUGAUGUUUCUGAUGACUAUCAGAUCCAACUCUGAUCUCCUUCAGCAC